rnacentral:tRNA from 1 species
CAAGGCAGUGGAUUUGUGAUUCC